rnacentral:rRNA from 1 species
GGAGGAAAAGAAACUAAAUAGGAUUCCCUUAGUAAUGGCGAAUGAACAGGGAUAAGCUCGGCUUGGGAAUCAAGACCUUCGGUUUUGAAUUGUAGUCUGGAGAAGUGUUGCCAACGGAGGCGCAGGUGUAAGCCUUUUGAAAAAGAGCAUCAGAGAGGGUGAGAGUCCCGUUUUUCAUCUGUAGUCCCCUGUGUUCGGCGCGCUUUCUAAGAGUCACGCACCUCGGGAUUGGUGCGCAAAGCGGGUGGUAAAUUUCAUCUAAAGCUCCAUAUAUGUUUGAGGCCGAUAGCAAACAAGUACCAUGAGGGAAAGGUGAAAAGGACUUUGGAAAGAGAGUUAAAAGUGUUUGAAAUCGCUGGAAUGGAAGCGAGUGGAGCCAGUUAGCCAGGGUGAGAUUGUUGCGCGCUGGUGUGACGGUUUGUCAAUGCAGCGCAAGCGCAGUGGCAAGCCUAGAUCAGUCGUGCGCAGUGCUUCUUGCCUUGCAUGUCUCCGGUGAUGCGCUUGCGUUGAUAACCCCGAGGAGAUGGUAACCCGCCUUCGGGUGGGCGAAGCUGCUUGGUGGAACCCGUGUGCGCAUUUUUCGGCGGCGAAAUGGUUCCCUU